rnacentral:lncRNA from 1 species
CGCCUCCGCCACCCAAGAUGGUCAUGCAGCCCAAGCCGGCAAAGCCAAUCCAAGGCAAGCCGGCCCUUGGGAGGCGCCACCUGUAAUUUACGUGGACAUGUGCUUUGAUAUUGUAUAUAGGGACCUGAUAUUGAUACAUAACGAUCAGAUGGGAAGCAACCGGGAGUGCAAAUGGCGAAGUAUAAGCACUGGAUGGGGCUGCCCUUUUCGGGAGCCGCAGCCGUCAUGUGGCCAACACAUGCUAAGGUUUUCAUUCCUCGUUUAGCACAUCGUAAGCUAAUGCAGUUUCGUUUAUGUUGCUGGGCUUUGGAGGCGAACAGAGCACGAAGGGGCAAGUACCAUGUCCCCAGGGGGCAGCGGUUUUGCCACUGUUGUGGUCCUAAUAGCCGAAUUGAGGAUGAAAAACACGUGUUAUUGGAAUGCCCAGCCUAUAAUGAUAUUCGUGCUGAAGAGGGAUUCGAUCAUCAACAGAGUAUGUUGGAGGCCAUGCAAUGGGAACCCGCACGUCUGGCGAGGAUGUUGGAACGUAUGUGGGCUCACCGAAACUCAAUUACCCCCUUUGGACGUUAGUCUGGGCUGAUGUGCGGUGUUUUUUCCUUUUUCUCCGUGGCUUUUAGGCGUUGUAGUAUUGCCCUUGGGCCCUCGGCUCGUAUGGGUAGUCUUACAGGUAUGGGGUCACGCACCCCCAACCAUGUAACACACACACACAUAACGAUCGCCAUUAACAGCGAACUUAAAUCCACUCUGCGAAAUACGCUUUACGAGGGUCACCGCCUGGGUAGUGUAUAUUGGGUCCUAAGCGGGUGAUGUUGAGUGCGUCAUGCUAGGCGAUGAGGCGUUGUUGUUUUGCCGGCAGGACCCCGGAUUCAAGCACGCUGCACACACACGUCGACAUGUGCCGGUUGCCAUGGGAGUGUGAUUAUCUAGGUGGUUAUUAGUUGCUUUCGAGAUUAUAUUUGUCGUACUCGUUGAGGGCAAGAGGGCCACGUGUGGCAUUGCUGUACAGUAGUUUGGGCACGGCAGGCGCUUAUUGUAUCAACGUAGUAGCAUAAGGGGUAGCGCCGUACCCAAUGCCUUCCUGAAGUUGGAUUGCAGCGGAAGAAGACGCUCUUGCCCGUAGUCGCGGAUUUGCACCGGGGUUGGAUAUACGCGUUGACGCCUGUCACUUCGUGGCCCUAGUGCCCAAAUGUGAGUCAGCAUCGUGUCGCGAUUCCAGCUCGGUGAGAAAAGAUUCGACUGUCGACGGGCUUCGGUAAUAAGGGUUAGCGUUAUCUCGCUUAAAAGUCGUUAGGUGUGGUUUUUUCUAUCCGUGGGAAAAACGUUUUUGAGUGUGCUUUUUCGGUCGUGUUUUCCAUAGCCAUUCCUCGGGUAAGCACCCUCCCCCUUCGCUAUCCAUCGAUAGCGGUCAAUUCGUGCGUGGUCGUGCCUUCCACAUACAUGCCAAGUCGUUUUUAAUCUUUGAAUGGCUUUGUGCGUCUUAGAAAAUGUUUUUUGGCGCCAUUUGUCGCCUUUGUGGUCUCGAAGCUACUUCCCCUUGGUUAAGCGAAAUACAAAUUUACCGGAUGAUUUGCUGAAUUGCAGCCACACUUGGGCAUCGAUUGGAGGAAUGUAACACGACGAUGAUUGAUCCUUUCGGUGGACUGCAGCACCGCACUGGUGCCAGGGCGGGCGGGAUCUGUACUACCUGUCUGGGUUUACAUGUCCCUCGCUCACUGUUGCUCGUGCAAGUUGUUCAAAUAGCAAUUCAAAUAGCAAUCAGGAAAAAGCGUAGAAAGCCGGCAUCGGACGGGAGCACGCCGUCAGCUGUGAUGGAUUGGAAGCAUGUGACAGGGCCCGGCCCGGGCCCCCGGGGGUCAGCCUGCACCUUAUGGCUGUUGACUAUUCACUGUCACAACAUACUCGGCAUCAUGUGACGCGACGUCAGCGGCUACUUGCAAAGAACCGAGUACACCUGGAAAACAAAUGGCUUGCUAUAGCUACACAAAAAGUGUACCAAACAUAGGGACGGCCAAUCCCCUGUGUGCGUGAGGACGCUGGGCACUGGUCGACAAUUCAUUUCCGCCGCCGCAAAGCUCAGUCAUACACCGCUGCUCAGAUUGCGCAACCAGCGUUUACCGUCUUAGAGCGUUUACCGUCUUAGAGCGUUUACCGUCUUAGAGCGUUUACCGUCUUAGAGCGUUUACCGUCUUAGAGCGUUUACCGUCUUAGAGCGUUUACCGUCUUAGAGCGUUUACCGUCUCUGAGGGGCUAUAUCCUCGCAAGGAGAACCAGCAGCCGCACCUGCACCCCGUGCGUGGUGCGUGCGUGUUUUUCCAUGUAUCGUGGUUACCCCCCGUGUGUCGUGUCUAUCACCCGCCUUCAGCUUAAUAGCUUAGGGCGUGAACACGUGUCCCAUUUUUUCUCGCUGCCAACAACUGCCGUACAGCAGGCAGGUUCCUGCGUGUUAUUACACCUGGGAAUGGGAAUUGUGUUUCGCAUGGCCAGCAACCAUGGCAUCGUGCUGAGCUGUUGUCGAUGGGGACGAGUUUGCAGAAGUCCCGCCCUUAACCCGCAGAGUAAUGCAUUGACUGCUGCGCAAGUGAGGCCGGCGAGACUGGUAGACAAGCCGAUACAUCGUUUUAAGUCAUCCGUGCUGUACGGGAUCCUCUGGUUGCUUUCAGUGAGUGGAAAUGGCGACCCAUCUAGCACUGCCAAUAGCCAGUACGAGACGGUGAUGUCGGUUGAAGGUCAGACGGUGUCCAUUUAUGCUGCAGCAACACUUGUGAGGCCCGGGGCCUACACCCCUGGGUACGCACGCUGUCCGCCUACCUGGAGCUCACCCACCCUGCACUCCAACCGGGACCGUGGCUCGGCAGCAGCGACCUUCCCGCAGACAUCAGCCGGAUCGUGGGGGCCCUGGGUCACUUGCCGCCUUUGGAGGACAUUGGCAGCAGGGUUCGACACUGACCUUCCUGAAACUUGCGGGCUCCCCCGUACCUCCCAAAUUUUCCUUACGGAGGGGCCCCCGUACCAGGCUCCUGUACCGGCCGAAAACCUUACGGGGGCCCCCGUAACCCCCGUAAAACCUUUACGGGGGCACUGUCCUUGGCUGAAACGCUGUGGAAAGUGACGCUUUGCAUUUUUUUGCCCUGUAAAUCGUUAUUUUCGUUAUUUUCUCGCGCUUCUUGGAGGGCGGUGGAUUAGGAGGCCCUUGGUCACCUCCUGACGACUCAUUGUCUGCCAUCGCUGGAUGUUACAGACCAGAAGCUAUAAAAGUAUUAUGAAAAGUGUAGUUAAAUAUUGGAAUAUGAAUUAUGUCUGCCAAGUGUGUGGCCUUAUCCUUUAUAUGGUCCGUCCUCUCCCCUACAGGGCCCCGUACGGCCUCUUAUAAAUCCUUAAAAUCCUUACGGGAGCCACCGUAACCGGCCUUCGGCCGGUCCGGGGGCGGCCCCGUACGGGGCGCUUCGCGCCACAAAAUCCUUACGGGAGCCACCGAAAAGUCCUACGGGCCCUGACGGGGAUACCGAAAAAAGGCCAAAAACUUACGGGCCCCGUACGGGGUGUCGAACCCUGCCAAUUUGGCAGAACCCCACUGGAACCCGGUGAUUGGUGCUGGGCGGCGGCGCUAUGGGGCAACCCACUGCUGCCCAAUGCGACCAAUGCUGCAAGCACCGAGGGCCCCAGCCGUCGACCAGGCCUGGAAGCAUACCAUGCAGCACUGACACCGUGCAGGAAACUACGCACGGUGGGGGACCUGGUACGGGUGUGGGAAGCGGUAAACACUAGCCAAGCCACCACCCUCCAGGGAGCAGCCUGGCAUUCGUGGGCCCGUGAGCACCUCGACCCAGCCACAGGCCCCGCCCAGCUGCAGGACAAGGAUGCCGCCCUUGCAGCUCUUGGAGCCCUGCACAGCGACAUCAGCCCGGCCUGGCUGGCGGCAGCACACGCGGUGGAGAUCAGGCUGCGACAGCAACAACAAGUGGAGGAGGGGCCCCAGCAGCAACCACCAGCACAGGCAAUGACACUGCCAGACUGCACACAAGUGAUGACCAUGAUGAUUGGGCGCCUGGGGUGGCGCCUCCCUGGGGCGACGGACGCUGUGCCGCUCCGCCGCCUAACAGUCAGUCAAGCGACACAGCUACAGAACGGGCAUGUGGACGAGCGGCGAAUACGCCUGAUGACCGACUUCGUGCAUGAGGCCCUGAACACGCCCGAGGCCCAGGCCCAGCCUGACAAUUCUGCCGAGCUUAGCCGCUUUCAGGCAACUCUGGCGCGCUUGUGGCAUGGGGUGCGCUGGGAGAAUGAGAACAAGGAGACCAUGUGGCGUCUCGCCGUGGAUGGCGUGCCCCUACCUGGCAACACGCACCUAGCCCGGGUGCCCACUGAGCCAUGCGGGUGUGGGACCUAUGGGGGCGCCGCCGGCCGACCCUGCCCACCGCGUCUGCACCAUUUCUGGGAAUGUCCAGUCGCACGUGCCGUACGGGAGCAAAAUCGACAGGCACCUGCCACACACUCAGACAACAGUAGGGGCCACCACCACCCGGCAACAGCUCUGGCUUGCCCAAGCGCCACCCGGGUGUGAGCAGGGCCCUUGGGAUGUGAUCGCCCUAGCGGCGCUAUCCGCCAUGGAAGUCGGCAGGUGCUGCCUCCGAGCAGCAACCCGGCGACAGGGACGGAUGGGGGCGACAGCAACGACGGGACAGCAGCAGCAGCAGCAGCGACAGCAACAGCGACAGAUGAUGGGGCAGCCACAGCAGCAGAGAUCCCGCCAGCGGGCCAUCACAGAUUUCUUCACCCCGGCGGGAGGUGCAAUGCAGCAAGAAGGACCCACCCUAAACGCCCCAGCGGAUGAAGGGCCAACGCAGGAAGCAGGGGCGGGAGGGGGCGAGGCGGUGGCAGCAGCAGCAACAGCGGGCGCAACAGGAGCCUUGCCACUGGCCCGCGCACGCGCCCGGGCGGUGGCAGACUUCUGGGCGCGUUUGCGCUCGUUCGCAAUGCUGGAGACCCCCAGACACGGCUGGGACAGAGUCGGGCCGCAGCACCCUAUCCUGGCGGUCGUGGAGGAACGGAUGCGGUGCGCAGCACCGGUGGAAAUCACGGCCUAAAUAGCCGAGAUAGAGUCGGGUCGAGGUCUUACUGGAAAGGGAGCAGGGAGAGUGAGGGAGGGGGUGAGAGAGCCAGGAGUAGGGAUAGGUGAGGGAGCGAGGAGAGCAGGGAGGACCGGGGCAGGUGGAGGGCAGGGCGAGGAGGCAGCGCCCUGAGCGUGGUCUAGCAGGGGGAGUUGGGGAUCCGGGCUGUGUGUGUUUUGUGUGCUCGUGUGGUUGCCCUCUCCCCGGGAAUUGGGGCCCGUCGGAGUGAGGGGAUUGGGUUCUGUGCUGUCUGGCAUCAGAGUGGAGGAGACGUAGGUGGCUUGUGAGAGUGGAGAGGAGGUGGGAAAGCGGUGGAGGACAGUGGUUGGGAGGUGGAGAACAGGUGUUGCUGUUUCCGGCAGGGUCAGGAGGGGAGGGGUUUCGGUGUGGUAAGCGGGAGCAGGCGGCGUCUGUGAGCCGUGCCUUUUCCGGGCUUUAUAGGGGGGCACCGUGCUGGCUUAUCAUCCCCCCCGCGGCAAUAGGUGUUUUUGCUGUGUCUUGCGCUGGGCUGCACCCGGGAACCCGCAACCCCCAGGAGGAGACUGACAGGCGGACCAGUUUCGCCUCGUUUGUGAGUGGACCGGCGAGGUAGUGGUGGCCACCCUCGGGAAGUGUUCGUUGCUCGUUGCUCGUGGUAGUUGAACAGCUGGCCUUCAAGGACCAGUGUGCGAGUACUCGCUUCGUGUUGGUCUUCUCUGUGCAACCGUAUCUCGGCUUAUGUGGUGUGUCGUCUCAGGCCUGUGGUCCUCCGUGUAUCUCUUGCCUUGCUGGCUGCGUGGGGCCCUGGUUUUUGAGUGUGUAGAGGAGCCCCCUGAGUAGAGCCCCUGCCCCCGGUGGUGUUUUCUUUUUGUUCUUGUUUUGGUGGUCAAGAGGGACGAGAGCGCGUGAAUAGGCAGGCCAGGCAAAGUGGCGCCUUUCGUGCGGCUCUCGCAUAGUUCGGUUCGCAGUCCUCUGCACCGCUGUGUUGCCUAGCCAGGGGCUGGGAGAGCGUCCCGGUUGGCGUGAGUGAGGGAAUGAGGCGCGCGCGGGAGGAACAGACGGACGUAGAGCCGCGCGCCCACCCCUGCGCUGUGUUUCGGCCCGGUCAGGGCCCCCGGUGCUCGUCCUUUAUCGGGCGAGCCGCCCACAGUGUAACACCCCAUCAACACUUGAAAGAUUGCGUGUGCGAUGACUUGGAUUCGGCUGAAGGAUGCUCGCCCUCAGCCAGCACAUUAAUGAGUAACUGUAACCUAUCAUAGACAUAUGUACGUUUUCUCCAAAACGUUUUUUUCCGAUGACUGUCGACAUCCCGGUUUCCCAUGAUGACAGCGACUUCCAAUCCUAUAACCCGUAACAUCGCUCGGCCACGAUCACGUCAAAUUGUUCUGGAGUAUGUUCCCAGAUAUUUCUACGCGGCAAUAACUGCGCGGGCCGUACUGCUUCAAGCGCCGCUUGCAUGGGCGCAGGGAGCAGGCACGGCGACCGGACUCACUGAUAGCCAGCCGCUACCUCUUUUGGGACAACCCUGCACGACAUGCUGUCGUCGUCUUUUGAGGAAACCAGUUACCCAAGCUUUCCUAAUUAGUCAUAGCGUACCGCAAGGAACCGUUUGGGAAGGCUCGGUCUAUCUUAUAGGGUUUUAGGGUUUUGCGAAUGGGAAAAAAUACGUUUGGGAUGCAAGUUCAAGGCAGUGCAUGCGUCAAAUAGCAUGGAUGAAAACUUUUAAAACGACGAUAUCUUACGUAGAGGCCCAUCCCUACCUAUCAUACUAGGAGACAAUUUUUAAAAAGAAAUAAUAUGUCUUGCAGACUAUCGUAGAGAGCGCUGCAGGUAGGGCUAGAGGAGAUGUGCUGCAAUGUUAGCCGUCCUCAAAAUGCUCGAACCUCGGUGGGCUCUCGGCCGACAGGGCUGCAAUGGGAAUUCCGAAACUGUUUGAAACAAGCGGAGUCCUUCAGCUCAUCAUAAUAUGUGUGGCACUGAGUUUUGGCGUGAUGAUGUGAAAAAAGGCCGAUGGCAGGAAGACUGGCGGGCAACUGGCGGGCAACGAAACAAUCGCGCAUGACAAGGGUAAGAGGCAAUAGCUGUGCGAUAGGUCAUAAAGCGGCUGCACUAGGUCGUGGCUUUAUGCAACGCCAGCUCGGGCUUGGAGGCACACAACGUGACAGCCCAAAUGAACGGUGUGGGCGAUGCCAUUGUACUUAGUGAUCUUGGCUGCACGCAAGGCAGGGGAAGACGUAACCAACGGCAACCAGCCGAAAGUUGCUGAAUUACAGCGUUAACCACCUGAAUUUGCUGACGUACAGCGUUGACCUGCUGAAAGCUACCGAAGUACAGCGUUGACCUGCUGAAAGCUGCUGAAGUACAGCGUUGACCUGCUGAAAGCUGCUGAGGUACAGCGUUGACCUGCUGCGAGUUGCUGAAGUACAGCGUUACAGUCUGGCUAAUUAUUAGGUUUCCCCAGAUUCCCAGCUAAAAAUGGCCACACCUUUCGCAGGAGGAAAUCAGCAGCUCAAUUUGCGUCAGGUUACCCCAGAUCGGCCAGUGUCGGACCUGCGGCAGUAGGCCACGGAGCUGGCCCGACCCCUGCUCCAGCCUGCGCCAGCCCUGCCUUGAGCCCUCCUGUGUCCUGUCCUGCUCGCACUGCAUGGUCCCCAAGAAACAAAGUUUCCAAUGGUAUCUUUACAUCAUUCAACUAAGGAAUACGGCAGGAUUUCCCGGAGUGUAAAUGUUUCGGUCACAUUCCGGUUUUACCGUUUCGUAUAUGUUCGUACCCAGCCGCCGCGCACGCCGUCCAUUGGGGAAAUUUACUAAAUGUUCAUGUUCAUGGCCGUUUCUCAUGGAAAAUUAUUUUUUUAGUCAUGUUCAUCUAAGUUAUGAGCAACGCCGUCUCAAGUACCUCCGAUGAUUAUUGCCCAUCGAUUGGAGGCAAACUGCCUGCUUAGAUUUUACAAGUUAAGGGUUAUAUGGCGUAGUGAAUAUUAUCUCUGCCCCCGAGGGCAGCGUGACCAAGCUUAGCCCUGCAUGGCCAAUAGGUCAUACGCCUUCGCUGCAUCUUAACUUCCGCUGCACUGGUGACUUGCCAUUACUGUACACAAAUCUUAUCAUAAUAUAGGGAUUUAAUUCCUUUAAAUUUUAACCUGUAGCGUACGCGUUCUGGUGGAAGUGCGUGUUCACGCAAUCGCUGGAAUGGGCUUUUCGCCGUCCCCGUGCAACAACUGCCGUAAACUUCCUACAGUCUUUGCAGUAUUUAAGCGGCAUUAUUUUAAUUUACAUUAUCGAAAUCAAUACCUAACUUAACCAGCGUGGUAGGGGUUGAUUUGCGCAACCCUUUGCCAUUGUACAGGGAAGAUGAACGCCGAGGGGUCAUUGCAAAUGCUGCUGGCGGGAAUGCUUGCGAUAAAUCUGCUGAGCUUAAGUGUGGUUACUGCUCAGCCUGGUGGCACCACAACUCCUUGCCCAAAAGGCAAUGGCCAGGUACUUGGCGGCUCCAGCGGCCUGUAAUCGGUUCUGAUGGGCAAUUCUGUACAUACAAAAUGAGGUAUUGUUUCCCUACCUGCGGACCUUCACUCGGAAAUCAGCAAGUCUUGGGCCGCGGAAUGUCGUAAUCCGCGUUCGUCGCUAGUACUUGAUACACCCUGGCGCCUUUAUUGCGAUGUUCUCUUUGUCGACUGUAUCUUCGGUCUACUCUGUGUUCCCGGACUUAUCCGUUGCCCGCUGGCCCCAUUGACAGGUGGUGCGGCUGGUGAGCAAAACGAGCACCGAGUACACGGUCUUCUUCAGCGGCUGCCCGUUCUACAGCCCCUACAAUCAGACCACACCUAACUCGCCAACAUUCCAGAACAAGACGGUGAGAACUCAGUGAAACGCUGUGAAAAGUCAAGUCAGUGUCCCCCAUGGCUGUGGUACCUAUAAGCGCCAACUCACCGGCCUAACAAACUAACUACCGUUCCGGCGGGCUUCCCUCUCCCCCGCAACCCACGGCGUGUAGGUUACGUUCCGCAUCACCCCGGUGCUCUCGUCCACCGUCACGUGAGUGCGGCCCGGGGGCCCGUACAUGGGCCUUGGGCACUGUUGGGUAACACGACCUAUCUGGGCUGUACAUGGUCAGGGGACGAGGAAGUGCGUGCCCGGGUCGCUUGAGUUAGGGAGAAAACAGAACCAUAAGGCCAUACAAAGGUCAUGUCAAGUCCCUAGUGUAUAGUACGUUGUGGCUUUAACGCACGAACCAGUUGUGACGCUUCUAUGCAUGCCCCCUUGCCUCCUCUGCCGUCCCUUACCGCACACUCCCAGGAAGUUCGCUUCACCUCUCAUUCCCUGUAGCAGUCCAACAUGUGUGCCUUAGCUUAACCCUUUACUUGUUUCAGUAGCUCGGCCCUUGACUCACUUUCCCACUUCCUUUUCCCGCUCCUGAACCCGCCACUGAGCCCUUCCCCUCCCGCCCCGCCAUACGUCACAUACGGCCAUACAUACGUACCUACAGCUACGUCGGUAUUUAUGCCAGCGGCACCACCAGCAACUCCCAGAAGAUCAUGAGCACCAUCGGCUACACAGUCACCGGCAUUGCCAUGUUCAGCGAUGCGGAUGCUACCGGGUCUGACGCCUACGUCAACGUGGGUCGCGGGUUGGGGGGUCUGACGGCGGUUGGGGGGCCUUUGCAGCGGAUAACCGGCGGAACACACCAUCAUGGCUGCAGUACUGCCGCCCCUGCCCCUUAUGCAGCUGUGCUGCUAAUCCCGCCACUGCCCCUGCUGCUACUGCCCAUUACAGGAGGGCCACACUUUCGAUGGAUGCCGCGGUCACGCCGGUGAGUGAGGUUUCAUGCGGUUCCUGCCUGUGUGUUACUGUUGCUGUGCGCGCAUUGUGAGGUCCUCUGCUUGUUGCGGCCCUGCCCGGCAUGGGGCAGAGGUGGACACGGGGGCGGAGGGGCAUUGGCGGCGUCCGAGUAGUAGUGUGCAGCCUCUAUGGCUUCGGACCCCUAUCCAUGCAAGGGAUGUUGGUCCUUGCUCCAUGAUAAAUGGAAGGUGCAGAGUACUGGACCUUGGAGCCUUUGUGUCCACAAUCAUUCCUUGUGCCCCGCCCCAAACCAAGUCGCCUGCCGCCGCUACCCCCCAGCUCCCCUAACCGUUCUGUCCUCAUCUAAAGCCACCUCACGCCCUAAUCCCGAUCCCUGCCUACUUCGGCGUGCAGAAAUGAACGGUCUCUACCACUAUCACUCGGAGCCUGGCUCCGGCUGCGUGUACAACGAGACCGCGGGCACGCACUCCCCCCUGCUGGGUAUCAUGUACGACAGCAUCCCGAUUUACGGCGCCCUGGGCGACAACGGUGUGCCGCCGGCGGACCUAGACGAGUGCGGCGGCCACACAGACACCACCUACCCCUUCUACCACUACCACACCACAUACAACUUGAAGUCCCCGUGAGUAUAACCAAACGGUCUGUUAGGUCCAGAUAUGCCUAACGAUAUCCUGUAAAUGCGGGAGCGUUGGAUGGACUACUUGUGAUUACAUGCCAAUCCGGAAGACGAGAAAUAUGCGAGUUUAGGGCUUAGCUUGGACUCGGAUCCACAUUUUAGUAUAUGAAGGAUGACACCUGUCGUACUCCAACGGUAGCAAGACAUGCAUACAUGCAUGGCAGCACACCAUAAUAUUACCUAGUUGAAGCCGUGGCGCGAAGGAGGGUUGUACCCGUUGUACCCGUUUUUCGGGCCCCGUUGGCUGGGAUAGAUACAGCUGCAGUGCAGGGCCCUCACGCAUGCAAGGCCCUCCGCCCAGGCAUAUUGUCACUAGGGUUUUUCAGAGCUUGAGAAGGCCCCUCCGCUCCUCUGGGGCAUCUGGCCCUGGGAGCAUGUGCACGGAAGUGAUCCGACCCCUCCGCGGUAACAGUUACUUUCCGUACAUGUCGUACAGGUACCUCGUCAAGUGCUUCCGCGGCUGCAUUUUCAACGCCAACGGCAACCCCUCGGUGAGCUGCCGCCUGGCCCAGACCUGUCGGUCUUACCACACAUACAGCCCUCAUCUGCCUUGUGUGCUUGCGUGGCUCUUUCAGACAGUUGCCAUUGCCCGAGGACUUGCCCGUAGCCUGGGACCGGACCGUGCAACAUAUGCGCUUGGCUGUUGAUGGUCAUUUUCUUCAUGCUGCGUGCACGACAUGCGUUGCUUUGCUGUUCGCGCAUGUCCCAGAGAUGUUGAGGGUUUUCAGGGCGCUCAGGUCAUCGGGUCAUUAUGGCACCCGCCAUCACCACCGUGAGCUGAUUGGACAAGAGCAUCAUCAUCUAAUGCUUUAGCAAUGCCACCCGUUACGAUGUGUCACUGUGACUAGACCUCCGAACUGUUGCCCUGUUCCUCCCUCCCGCAGAUCCAGCAGUACAACCUGGUCAAGACCGACGCCACGUGCGUAAAGGCGGCGACGCAGUACGACUACAGCUCCUUCGUCAAUCCCCUGCUGUCGUCAAGCCCUGUGACUACCAGCUCGCCGCCGCCGCCGCCACAAACCGGGUCAAGUAGCCCGCCGCCGCCGCCAUCAGCGCUGCGCAGCCCGCCGCCGGUGCUUGGGAAGCCACCAAAGGCGCAGGCGGGUAGCCCGCCACCGCCUCCGCCACCAACAUCGCGCAGCCCGCCGCCGGUGCUUGGGAAGCCACCAAAGGCGCAGGCGGGUAGCCCGCCGCCGCCGCCACCAACAUCGCGCAGCCCGCCGCCGGCAAUGACACGUAGCCCGCCGCCGUCGCUGCCAUCCAAGUCGCCGCCGCCGCCACCGCCACCGGCAGUAGCGGGGUCGCCGCCACCAGCGGGGAUGCGGCCCAAGCCGCCCAAGGCUGUGGUAGGCAGGCGCCUGUAAAGUAUUGACGUGUUCUUUGCAUUCAUGAGGCGCCAGACAUGCUUCUCACCAUAUCGUGGACAUGUUAAGCCCACCCUUCCGGGCGUUUAUGUACCAUAGCCGUUGCUUCGGUUACAUUCAUUAGGAUCCAUUCCAUAACCCGGAUCCAAAUGUUACAUUGCUAUGCCUGCUUAUGCCUGAAGUACGCGUUCGAAUUCAUCAAGCGAUGUGCACUGGGACCCAUUUUGAGUUGGUUGCACGCUAUAGUUGCUUUUGAGGUGAUGGAUAUAUCAAAGGUAAUCUUGAGGGCGCGAUGGCCAAACACAGCCGUACGUGUAUGAUUCUGAAGCUAAUCUUGUGAGACAUUAGAUUCGCAAGCAUCAUAUAUAAGAAACACUGCUGCACAGGUUACCCCUUCAUGCUAAUAAACACGAUGCAUGGUACAUUGUUGCGGCAUCUGCUGGGAAGGGGAUGUGGCGCCGUACGGGGAGGCCGGAGCGCUCCCAAGGCGCAGAUCGCUUGCGUCCAUGCAUGGGCGUGCAUGUAGUGGUCGUAGAUUGCACGCAUGUGGAAAUAUAACGACACCUGUCAUCGCUCGUGGUCCAUAAUAUCACGUAUGUCCAUCGCCAUAAUUUCGGCUUGGAGGAGGCCAAUCAGCAGCCAAUAAAACUCAGUUGUAUCCGCUAGUUCGGGUUAGGUUGGGGUAGUUCGGGCUCAGGUAAUUCGCGUACGUUUUCGAGGCAUGGUGUUGUUGUAUUGGUCAACAAUUGUAGGUUACAUACAGCUGCUCAACGAGCGCGCUCCUCGUGUGUCGAGCAAUUUAGCUAGAUUAAUCCCGGACCCCAGGCGCAUGGAUGGCGGUAUGGAGCUGUCCCGAUACGGAGCAUGGCCCGCCGUUAUCGGAAAACCAUGUGACAUCCUUAGAUGCUUGACUCUUGUAAAGUACUCUUCCCGGGCAGUGUACAAUUCAUGAAAUGAGUGCAAAA